AUUGAACGCUGGCGGCAUGCCUUACACAUGCCAGUCGAACGGUAACGGGCCUUCGGGUGCCGACGAGUGGCGAACGGGUGAGUAAUACAUCGGAACGUGCCCGAUCGUGGGGGAUAACGAGGCGAAAGCUUUGCUAAUACCGCAUACGAUCUACGGAUGAAAGCAGGGGACCGCAAGGCCUUGCGCGGACGGAGCGGCCGAUGGCAGAUUAGGUAGUUGGUGGGAUAAAAGCUUACCAAGCCGACGAUCUGUAGCUGGUCUGAGAGGAUGAUCAGCCACACUGGGACUGAGACACGGCCCAGACUCCUACGGGAGGCAGCAGUGGGGAAUUUUGGACAAUGGGCGCAAGCCUGACCCAGCCAUGCCGCGUGCAGGAUGAAGGCCUUCGGGUUGUAAACUGCUUUUGUACGGAACGAAAAGCCUUCUUUUAAUACAGGAGGGUCAUGACGGUACCGUAAGAAUAAGUACCGGCUAACUACGUG
rnacentral:rRNA from 1 species